AAAUAUAACUUGAGAAUUAUAUUCUGCAUAAACAUAAUUAACUUAUAUUAAGAAAAGAUUAGAUGAAAAUGAAAUUCUACAUCAUAAUCCAUAUGUUAUAUAGUUUUACAACAUCAAAAAGUUUGAACAUUGAUUUUUAAUGGUGAGAAAGAAAUCUUCUGACCCAUUCCAAUCGCGCAACAGAAGGUAAACUAAAGAAAA
rnacentral:lncRNA from 1 species